rnacentral:misc_RNA from 1 species
UGGAUAAACCGGAAAACCUUCCCCGGUAUCAUCUUAAAUCACUGGAAAAGCUUAAAAUGCUUUCUUCAUAAAGCCUUUUUUAAAUGGAUACUCUUUAAGGUUCAUAAGAAUUUAAAGAGUAUCUAAACGCCCGUUUUUUUUGUAAAGCAGGCUAGGCUUUAUUUUAAGAGAUCGCCAGAAGGCUUGGGAUCAUCAUCUGAAGAAAGAGA